CUACGGGACGCAGCAGUGGGGAACAUUGGACAAUGGGCGAAAGCCUGAUCCAGCAAUGCCGCGUGUGUGAAGAAGGCCUUAGGGUUGUAAAGCACUUUCAGUAGGGAGGAAGUUACAUAGGUUAAGAGCUAAUGUAAUUGACGUUACCUACAGAAGAAGCACCGGCUAACUCUGUGCCAGCAGCCGCGGUAAUACAGAGGGUGCAAGCGUUAAUCGGAAUUACUGGGCGUAAAGCGCGCGUAGGUGGAUAAGUUAGUCAGCUGUGAAAUACCCGGGCUCAACCUGGGGGUGCCAGUUGAUACUGCUUGUCUAGAGUCGAAGAGAGGGUAGUGGAAUUUCCAGUGUAGCGGUGAAAUGCGUAGAUAUUGGAAGGAACAUCAGUGGCGAAGGCGGCUACCUGGCUUCAGACUGACACUGAGGUGCGAAAGCGUGGGGAGCAAACAGGAUUAGAUACCCUCGUAGUC
rnacentral:rRNA from 1 species